rnacentral:rRNA from 1 species
UGGUGGAGUGAUUUGUCUGGUUAAUUCCGUUAACGAACGAGACCCCUGCCUGCUAAAUAGUCAAAUGAGUGAUUUUUCACUGAUUAUGGCCUCUUAGAGGGACGUGCAUUUUAUUAGAUGCAGGAGGAUAGGGGCAAUAACA